GCCUUCGUGGUGUAGUGGUCAGCACACUCGACGCGAACCGAUGGGUCCGUGGUUCGAUUCCCGGAGCAGGCG
rnacentral:tRNA from 1 species